GAAAUAUGAAACUCAAGAUAAAGCUUCUAACUUUAAUCUUAAGCGAUGAAAUUUCGUUUAUAUUUCU
rnacentral:tRNA from 1 species